GGGCCCGUGGUCUAGUAGAUAUGAUUUGGGUCUCCGGAACCCAAGGUCCAGGGUGCAAAUCCCUGCGGGCCCG
rnacentral:tRNA from 2 species